CAGAGUCAUAUGCUCGUCUCAAAGAUUAAGCCAUGCAAGUCUAAGAAUAAAUAAAAAUCAGUAAAUCUGCAGACGGCUCAUUAAAUCAGUAAAUAUCUAAAAGGUUAUUUUAUUACGGAUAACUGUAGUAAUUCUAGAGCUAAUACGAUUCAAAAAUAGUUUUAAAAAAUUACGUAAAAAGGGAAUAGUUUAGAUCUAAAAUGAGUAACCUUUUUUUACGAGAUCGCCCAAGUGUGCGACAUGCCUUUUGAUUUUCUGCCCUAUCAACUUUUGACGGUAGUGUAGUGGACUACCGUGGUUUCGACGGGUAACGGGGAAUAAGGGUUCGAUUCCGGAGAGGGGGCCUGAGAAAUGGCCACCACUUCUAAGGAAGGCAGCAGGCGCGCAAAUUACCCAAUCUCAAUUCGAGGAGGUAGUGACAAGAAAUAGUAAUGCCUUGACUCUUAAGAGUCUGGCAAUUGUAAUGAACUAAUUAUUAAUUCAUUGAUGAGGAACAAUUGGAGGGCAAGUCUGGUGCCAGCAGCCGCGGUAAUUCCAGCUCCAAUAGCGUAUAUUAAAUUUGUUGCAGUUAAAAAGCUCGUAGUCUGUGUCUGAAGUCAGGUCGCCCUUUUGAUUAUUCAAUAAUUAUGGGGGAAUAUAGACCGGCUUCUUGCGUAAAAUCAACGGUAGGCUAUUAAGUUAGCGACCAGUCUGAUGCGCACUACUUUGAAGAAAAUAGAGUGUUUCAAGCAUGCAAGUUUCGCAUGAAUAAAUUAGCAUAGGAUAGUAAAAACUUCAUUUAAAGUCCGAUCUAAGGACCAAAUUAUAGUAUUAAUAGAUAUAGUUGGGGACGUUUAUAUUUAAUAGUCAGAGGUGAAAUUCUUGGAUUUAUUAAGGAUACACAAAUGCGAAGGCAUUCGUCAAGGAUGUUUUCAUUGAUCAAGAACGAUAGUUAAGGGAUCGAAGACGAUCAGAUACCGUCGUAGUCUUAACCGUAAACUAUGCCGACCAGGAAUUAGAUGAUGUUAAUAUGGAUGACUCCUCUGGCGCCUUAAGAGAAAUCUAAAGUCUUUGGGUUCUGGGGGGAGUAUGGUCGCAAGGCUGAAACUUAAAGGAAUUGACGGAAGGGCACACCAGAAGUGGAGCCUGCGGCUUAAUUUGACUCAACACGGGAAAUCUCACCAGGUCCGGACAUUGGAAUGAUUGACAGGCUGACGACCUUUCAAGAUUUGAUGGGUGGUGGUGCAUGGCCGUUCUUAGUUGGUGGAUUGAUUUGUCUGCUUAAUUGCGAUACGAACGAGACCUUACUCUGCUAAAUAGUACCGGGUUAACAUUUUAUGGUGGAGAGCUGAUUUUUGAGAACGGCAAGUAAUUGCUAGUUGCGGGUCAGAAGGACGCUUUUGUUAAACACGGAGACUUCUUAGAGAAACUAAUAUUCAAAAAAAUAGAGGAAGAAAGGCAAUAACAGGUCUGUGAUGCCCUUAGAUGUUCUGGGCCGCACGCGCGCUACAAUGUAUUGUAUAAAGUGUGUUCUGAUAAAGAUCCACUUUGCAGGAAUGCCGGGUAAAACUGGAUUCCUAUUCGUAACCGGAAUAGAUGUUUGUAAUUAUUUGUCUUGAACGAGGAAUUUCUAGUAGUCGUGGUUCACUAAACCACGUCGAUUACGUCCCUGCCCUUUGUACACACCGCCCGUCGCUUCUACCGAUUGAAUACUCCGGUGAAAUCGCCGGAUAAUUGUCCGUCAGGGGGGCGACCCCCAGACGGUCCGUUAAAAGACGAGUAAACCAUAGUAUUUAGAGGAAGAAGAAGUCGUAACAAGGUCUCCGUAGGUGAACCUGCA
rnacentral:rRNA from 1 species